GGUUUUGGCUAUAAAGUUGGAUUUUUCUUAUAAUUAUAUGUAAAUUUUAGUGUGAAAAUAUUAUGUAUUUAAAUAAUAUGUAUUUAAAUUAUUAUUCACAGUAAAUAAAAUUAAAUAUUAAAGUAAUUUAGAUUUAGGUAUAGAUUUAAAUAUUAACAAAAUUUGUGCCAGCAGUUGCGGUUAUACAAAUAAUAUAAUUUAAUUUUUUUAGUUAAAGUUAAUUUAUUUUUGAUUUUAAUUUUUAAAUUAAAAUUUAUUAGGUGAAAUUUUAAAUUUUAAUUAAGAUUAUUAAUUUGAGAUGAGGCUUGAAAAUUUAUUUUUAGACUAGGAUUAGAUACCCUAUUAUUUUAAAUGUAAAUUUAUAGAUGCUAAAUUAGUAAAAGUUAUGUUCUUGAAAAUUAAAAAAUUUGGCGGUAUUUUAGUCUUUUCAGAGGAACCUGUCCUGUAAUUGAUAGUCCACGAUUAGAAAAACUUUAUUUAUUAAUUUAUAUAUCGUUGUAGUUUGAAUAUUUUAAGAGAAGUUAAAUAUUCAUGAUUUUAAAUUAAAAAAUAAAUCAGAUCAAGGUAUAGUUUAUAAUAAAGUAGAGAUGGGUUACAUUAAAAAUAUUUAAGGAUAAUUUUUUUUAAAAGGAUUUGAAUGUGGAUUUGAAAGUAAUUAUAAAUAUAUAUUUAUAAUGAUUUUAGCUCUAAAAUAUGUACAUAUCGCCCGUCGCUUUCAUUUUAAAGUGAAAUAAGUCGUAACAAAGUAGGUGUACUGGAAAGUGUACCUAGAAAGA
rnacentral:ncRNA from 1 species